GACGAACGCUGGCGGCGUGCUUAACACAUGCAAGUCGAGCGGUAAGGCCCUUUCGGGGGUACACGAGCGGCGAACGGGUGAGUAACACGUGGGUGACCUGCCCUCAGCUCUGGGAUAAGCCUGGGAAACCGGGUCUAAUACCGGAUAUGACCUCAUGACGCAUGUUGUGGGGUGGAAAGCCUUGUGCGGCUGAGGAUGGGCCCGCGGCCUAUCAGCUUGUUGGUGGGGUGAUGGCCUACCAAGGCGACGACGGGUAGCCGGCCUGAGAGGGCGACCGGCCACACUGGGACUGAGACACGGCCCAGACUCCUACGGGAGGCAGCAGUGGGGAAUCUUGCGCAAUGGGCGAAAGCCUGACGCAGCGACGCCGCGUGA
rnacentral:rRNA from 1 species